AACGAACGCUGGCGGCAGGCUUAACACAUGCAAGUCGAACGCCCCGCAAGGGGAGUGGCGCACGGGUGAGUAAUACUUGGGAACGUGCCUUUCAGUCUGGGAUAACGUCGGGAAACUGACGCUAAAACCGGAUAUUCUCUCCGGAGGAAAGUUUACGCUGAAAGAUCGGCCCAAGCGAGAUUAGGUAGUUGGUGGGGUAAAAGCCUACCAAGCCGACGAUCUCUAGCUGGUCUGAGAGGACGACCAGCCACACUGGAACUGAGACACGGUCCAGACUCCUACGGGAGGCAGCAGUGGGGAAUAUUGGACAAUGGGGGAAACCCUGAUCCAGCCAUGCCGCGUGAGUGAUGAAGGCCUUAGGGUUGUAAAGCUCUUUUGUGAGGGAAGAUGAUGACGGUACCUCAAGAAUAAGCACCGGCUAACUUCGUGCCAGCAGCCGCCGUAA
rnacentral:rRNA from 1 species